rnacentral:rRNA from 2 species
GACGAACCGUGCGAACGUUGUUCGGAAUCACUGGGCUUAAAGGGCGCGUAGGCGGCUUGCCAAGUCAGUGGUGAAAUCCCGCAGCUUAACUGCGGAAGUGCCUUUGAUACUGGCGAGCUCGAGGGAGGUAGGGGUAUGUGGAACUUCUGGUGAAGCGGUGAAAUGCGUUGAUAUCAGAAGGAACGCCGGUGGCGAAAGCGACGUACUGGACCUCUUCUGACGCUGAGGCGCGAAAGCUAGGGGAGCAAACGGG